UUUUUUUUUUUUUUGUAAUUCUACGGAAGAACGAAAAUGUGAAAGAUGGAGAUCUGAAAAACAAGUUAAAUCGCUUAUUACUCUUUCAAAUCUAAGCAGAAAAGGGAGUCCUACAAACCUGACCAACAUUUCGGCUGAUGGCAACUACAAUUCUCAAUUUCUUCCAAUGAGUAAAUCUUCUAAUCGUAUUAUAAGAAACUUUAUUGAUGAAAUAGCAGAAGAAUCACUAAAAUAAAGUACAACAAAAUAGCAGCUCCUCGCACAAUUAUCAAUCAUCCAGUAGUCAUUCCUAUCAAUGUUACACCUUCACUCCCUGUCUAUGGACACUAAUCCUUUACCAAAGUAUAAGAGCUGGAAAAAACAAUGUCAAUUUUUACAAAACAUAUGUCUCAGUUAAGGUUUAGACAUAUUAGACAACUUCAGAGAAUACCACCAACAAAUAAAAUGAUAUCAAAUGAAACAGCCAAUCUCCAAUUUCAAUUCAAAAAAUUUAAAUUCAAAAAAUCAAAACAAAUGAUAUACUGUCAUGUGAAAAUAUUACAACACAUCAUUCAAAGCCUCAAAAAGAACUAUCUUGAAUAAUAUUUGAAUAAAUUUAACAUCGACAUCUCCAUAUUGAGUGAGCAUAUAUUUAAUAUAGACGAACCGCAAAAUAAUACAAGCAUAUGCAAUUAUAAUAUCGUGUCAAAGAAAAGACAACUGCGGAGAAGUUUUCACACUAUUAAAAGGAUUCAAUUUCAAACCCCAUUGGACAUCAUUAUAUGCCAACAUACAUUCGAAUAGCAUAACCAUUUGCAUCCGUAUACUUCCCUCAUUCAAUUAGAGCUAGUGAAUUAAAACAUGAACUCGAAAAAUUGCUAUGCUUUCUGGAAUCACGUACUGAUGUACUAAUCUGUUGUGACUUUAAUGCAGGGCAUUGACCAUCGAGUCAAUAUUUCCAAAUCCUUUUUCGACUCAUCAAAUUUUUAUUCUCUCAAUAAUGAAAACUUCACCUUUAGAAAACGCUCAACUGACACAACCGGUUCUGUUCUUGAUCCGCCAUUUACGAAUACAACGUUAACCACUUCCAGGAAAGUACAACUUUUUACAUUUGGAGGAAGCCAUCAUUACCCCAUAGUCAUAAAUAUUGUUAUCAGCAAUAUUACAAACCAAAGGAAAUGUUGUUUAAAUCUGUGAACAACACAAAUAUUAAGCCCCGCUUUGAUGAUAUACAUGCACCUUCAAGGAUGAAAUAAACAAAUCUACAUUUAUUUUUAAAAAAUAACCGAUUUCCAAAACUUUGGUGGGACUCUGUCGUAGAAAAACCCACAGACUUCAGCUCGCAGCUCAAAAAACAUACGAUAUGUUCAACAACAACAUAAAUGCUUGUAAACUUAUUGAGGCUAACAAAGCUUUUAAUAAUGCUGUUAAAUUUGCCAAAAGGAAUUUCUUUAAAACCAAAAUUCAGGAUCUUAACAACGAACCACACUCUAAAGCACUUUUUAAAUUCGUUCGCGCCCAUUUUUAAAACAAAAUGGCCUUCUGAAAAUGAUAAACAGUUUUUUAUCCAUCUUAGAGAUCAAGUUCCCAAUAAUGCAAGUCACGUGUACAAGUUCAAACACAUCGCCAAGUUUUUCAACAGAAAGAAUUUGAAAAUGUGGCGUUACCUAUGAAAUGGUUAACCAUUUGUCUGACACGGUAAACAUAACUUACUAAGAACUAUGAACAAUGAUUGGAAAGAUUGCCAUUUUUUGAGGAAUGGAGACAAAUCAAAAUUGUCCCCAUCCCAAAACAAGACAGACAUGAAAAUAAUCACAAACUACAGGCCAAUCGCUUUGAUAACAGUUUUCGCCAAAAUUAUUAACUUGAUGGUUAAGGAAAAACUUCAGACUUUUUUAGAUCAAAAUAACAUAUUUCCCCACAACACAUAUGCAUAUGGGAAAAAUCUAUCCGCCUCUAUGUGAAUAAAUGAUUUGAUACAUACAAUAUAUUAUUAUAAAGAGCAAGGUGAUAAAGUCAUCAUUGUAUCUUUAGAUUGAUAUAAUUAUGUGGAUCACCAAUUUCUUAAAAAAGGAUCUUAAUAAUGGGAAAUGAAAGUCUAGAGAUUAAUAAUGGUCUACCUCAAGGAAGCUGCCUAAGCCCCACUUUGUUUAGCAUUUAUACGCUGGGCUUACAUGAUAUAAACAACCAAUGCAUAAAAACUUGUCAGUUUGCACCACACAAAGAUUUUGACAGGCUAACAAUAUUCUUCAAAGCAAGAUUAAUGAAUUCGUUAAAAUAUUAAAAUCGCUUAAUCUCUCUGUGAACGCCGAUAAACCAGCUGUCAUGUAUGUGGCAAAAGGAGAUAGAAAAAUACCACAAAUAAUGUCGCAAAAAUCAUCAAAAUACCGAAUAUAGAAGGUACUGUUAUAUGGGGCUAUACGAAGACGUGGACCUGCACAGACAGUUUUCUGUCACAAACUGUAGAACCCACUACGAACUUUAAAUACCAAAUUUGAAACAAUUCCGGUGAAUAAUGCCUGUAUCGUAAUUUGUGGGCUGUAUCGUGAUUUCAACAGGCAGACAGACAGACGGACAUCGUUAAAUCGACUUAGAAUUUUAUGCUGAUUAUGAAUAAAUAUAUAUUAUAUGGGGUCUACGACGAAUAUUUAAGGAUGUUACAAACGGAAUGACAAAGUUAAUAAACCGUCCUUUCCAAUGUGGAGGGUAUAAAAAUAUCAUUUUUGACCAAUUUCACCAAAACUUGAGAAAAGUAUUAAACAAGUAACAAGUAAAAAAACAUUAAGUUCGGCCGGGCCAAACUUUUAAUACGCUCCAACUUAGGGUAAGGAAACAUUUGACAACAACCGUUAAAAUGUCGAAUAUUGGGAGGUUUCGUUAUAUGGGGGCUAUACCAAAUCGUGGACCUACACAUGCAAUGUUUCGCCAACGGAGCUAGAACCCAUUAUGACCUACAAAUACCAAUUUUUAGACCAAUCCGCGAAAAUAUGUGGCAAAAAUUAUCAAAAUACCGAAUAUAGGGAGGUACCGUUAUAUGGGGGCUAUACCAAAACGUGCACCUUUAAUUACAAUGACUCGCCACACGAACUGGGACCCAUUAUGAUCUACAACUACCAAUUUUCAGAGAAAUUCGUGAAAAAAUGUGUCAAAAAUCAUCAAAAUACCGAAUAUUGUGAGGUACCGUUAUAUGGGGACUAAACCAAAAUGGGGACCUAUACAUACAAUGUUUCGCCACACGAACUAGGACCCAUUACGACCCACAAAUACCAAUUUUUAGACAAAUCAGUGCAAAAAUGUGGCAAAAACCAUCAUAAUACCGAAUAUCGGGAGGUACCGUUAUAUGGGGACUAUACCAAAUCGUGGACUAUACCAAAUGUUUCGCUACCGGAGCUGGAACCCAUUAUGACCAACAAAUACCAAUUUUUAGACAAAUCCGUGAAAAAAUGUGGCAAAAGUAAUAAAAAUAUCGAAUAUCGAGAGGUACCUUUAUAUGGGGGCUAUACCAAAACGUGGACCUAUACAUGCAAUGUUUUGCCACACGUACAGGGACCCGUUAUGACCUACAAAUACCAAUUUUCCGACAAAUCCGUGAAAAAAUGUGGCAUAAAUCAUCAAAAUACCGAAUAUCGGGAGGUACCGUUAUAUGGGGAUUAUAUCAGAACGUGGACCGAUAUAUCUCAUUUUCAAUACCAACCAUCCUAGACACAAUACAAAUUGCUCUGCUAAAUUUUGGCGCUCUACGUCAAAUAAUGUGGGCUGUAUCGUGAUUUCAACAGACAGACAGACAGACGGACGGACAGACAGACAGACGGACAUCGUUAAUUCUUAGAAUUGUAUGCUGAUUAUGAAUAUAUAUACUUUAUGGGGUCUACGACGAAUAAUUAAGGAUGUUACAAACGGAAUGACAAAGUUAAUAUACCCUCCUUUCCAAGGUGGAGGGUAUAAAAAAGCUGUAAGUACGGCCUUGCCGAACUUUGAAUACCCUCCACCAUUUGGUACAAAUUUAACAAUUUUCAAAAAAAAUAAAAUCCCUUAAAAAUCUGUUAAAAUCUUGAAAAUACCUAAUGUAGCCG